GCCCCUGUAGCUCAAUGGAUUAGAGCAGGUUCCUCCUAAGGACAAGAUAUAGGUUCGACUCCUAUCAGGGGCA
rnacentral:tRNA from 1 species